rnacentral:rRNA from 1 species
GUAGGGUGCGAGCGUUGUCCGGAAUUAUUGGGCGUAAAGGGCUCGUAGGCGGUUUGUCGCGUCGGGAGUGAAAACACCGGGCUUAACUCGGUGCUUGCUUUCGAUACGGGCAGACUAGAGGUAUGCAGGGGAGAACGGAAUUCCUGGUGUAGCGGUGAAAUGCGCAGAUAUCAGGAGGAACACCGGUGGCGAAGGCGGUUCUCUGGGCAUGACCUGACGCUGAGGAGCGAAAGUGUGGGGAGCGAACAGGAUUAGAUACCCUGGUAGUCCACACCGUAAACGUUGGGCGCUAGGUGUGGGAUCCAUUCCACGGGUUCCGUGCCGCAGCUAACGCAUUAAGCGCCCCGCCUGGGGAGUACGGCCGCAAGGCUAAA